ensembl:snoRNA
CCUCCUUUUCUUGGCGGGGACCGAGCUUGUGGUCUCGCUCCCCGUAAUGUAUGGAGGAAGAGGGAAAGGGCUCUGGUCCCCUCGGCGUCAUGUCUUCGGUGCCGGUGGCUUCCCAUCCGCUGGUUCUAUCCUCAAGCGCCGAGACACCG